rnacentral:misc_RNA from 1 species
GUUCCGUAGGUGAACCUGCGGAAGGAUCAUUAUUGUAUAACCGAGGUGCGAGGGCUGUCGCUGACCCGAAAGGUCGUGCACGCCCGAGUGCCCUCACACACACCCGUCUCACCCCUAUGUGCACCACCGCGUGGGUCCCCCUUUGGCUUGUUCGGAGGGGGGCUUACGUUUUCACACAAACUUUGUAUGCAGUGUAGAAUGUAUUUUUUGUUUUUGCGAUCACGCAAUCAAUACAACUUUCAACAACGGAUCUCUUGGCUCUC